AUACGGAGGGUGCAAGCGUUAUCCGGAUUUAUUGGGUUUAAAGGGUCCGUAGGCGGAUUUGUAAGUCAGUGGUGAAAUCUCACAGCUUAACUGUGAAACUGCCAUUGAUACUGCAAGUCUUGAGUGUUGUUGAAGUAGCUGGAAUAAGUAGUGUAGCGGUGAAAUGCAUAGAUAUUACUUAGAACACCAAUUGCGAAGGCAGGUUACUAAGCAACAACUGACGCUGAUGGACGAAAGCGUGGGGAGCGAACAGGAUUAGAUACCCUGGUAGUCCACGCCGUAAACGAUGCUAACUCGUUUUUGGGAUGUAAAUUUCAGAGACUAAGCGAAAGUGAUAAGUUAGCCACCUGGGGAGUACGAACGCAAGUUUGAA
rnacentral:rRNA from 1 species